rnacentral:rRNA from 1 species
AUUGAACGCUGGCGGCAUGCCUUACACAUGCAAGUCGAACGGCAGCACGGGAGCUUGCUCCUGGUGGCGAGUGGCGAACGGGUGAGUAAUGCAUCGGAACGUACCCGGAAGUGGGGGAUAACGUAGCGAAAGUUACGCUAAUACCGCAUAUUCUGUGAGCAGGAAAGAGGGGGAUCGGAAGACCUCUCGCUUUCGGAGCGGCCGAUGUCGGAUUAGCUAUUUGGUGGGGUAAAGGCAUACCAAGGCGACGAUCCGUAGCGGGUCUGAGAGGAUGAUCCGCCACACUGGAACUGAGACGCGGUCCAGACUCCUACGGGAGGCAGCAGUGGGGAAUUUUGGACAAUGGGCGAAAGCCUGAUCCAGCCAUGCCGCGUGAGUGAAGAAGGCCUUCGGGUUGUAAAGCUCUUUCGGCUGAAAAGAAAUCGCACAGGCUAAUACCCUGUGUGGAUGACGGUAUCAGCAUAAGAAGCACCGGCUAACUACGUGCCAGCCGCCGCAGUAA